AUGGAGUCCACGCCGGCGCCUCCUCUCCUGACGCCGCACAAGAUGGGCCAGUUCGACCUCUCGCACAGGGUUGUGCUGGCGCCACUGACGAGGCAGCGGUCCUACGGCAACGUGCCGCAGCCGCACGCGGGGGUGUACUAUGCGCAACGGGCGACCAAGGGUGGGCUGCUCAUCGCGGAGGCGACGGGUGUGUCAGACACGGCACAGGGGUACAAGGACGCCCCUGGCGUGUGGACGGAGGAGCAGAUCGACGCGUGGAAACCCGUGGUCGAUGCCGUGCAUGCCAAGGGUGCGCUCUUCUUCUGCCAGAUAUGGCACGCCGGACGCGUCUCAAACUACAAGUUACAGCCGAAUGGGCAGGCGCCGAUAUCGAGCACCGACAAGCAAAUGAGCGCUGACGGUCGUCUCGAGGAGUUCUCACCUCCGAGGAGGCUUACAAAGGACGAGAUACCCAAUGUCGUCGAUGACUUCAGAAAAGCCGCAAGGAACGCCAUCACAGCUGGUUUGACGGGCGUUGAGAUCCACGGCGCCUACAGCUACAUCAUCGAUCAGUUUCUCAAGGACAGCGCCAACGACCGCACCGACGAGUACGGUGGCAGCCGCGAGAACCGAUGUCGCUUUGCGCUAGAGGUGGUGGACGCAGUCGUCGGGGAGGUGGGCGGCCACCGCGUGGGCAUCCGUUUGUCUCCCUUCACCGACUACAUGGACUGCCAUGACUCGGACCCUCAGGCUCUCGCCCUCCACCUCGUCAACAAGCUCAAUGACUAUGGCAUCCUCUAUUGCCACAUGAUUGAGCCAAGGAUGGCGCACGUCGAUGGCCGACGCCAAGUCCCGCACCGCCUUCUGCCCUUUAGGGAGGCCUUCAAUGGCACCUUCAUCGCCAACGGAGGGUAUGACCGGGAGGAGGGGAACAAGGUGGUCGGUGAGGGAUACACUGACCUCGUCGCUUAUGGGCGGCCGUUCCUAGCAAACCCAGACCUACCAAGGAGGUUCGAGCUCAAUGCGCCGCUCAAUGACUAUGACAGGAUGGCAUUCUAUACCUCUGACCCUGUCAUGGGCUACACCGAUUAUCCAUUCCUCGACUAA
rnacentral:rRNA from 1 species